rnacentral:rRNA from 1 species
AGUAAAAGUCGUAACAAGGUCUCCGUUGGUGAACCAGCGGAGGGAUCAUUACUGAGUUUACGCUCUAUAACCCUUUGUGAACAUACCUAUAACUGUUGCUUCGGCGGGUAGGGUCUCCGCGACCCUCCCGGCCUCCCGCCUCCGGGCGGGUCGGCGCCCGCCGGAGGAUAACCAAACUCUGAUUUAACGACGUUUCUUCUGAGUGGUACAAGCAAAUAAUCAAAACUUUUAACAACGGAUCUCUUGGUUCUGGCAUCGAUGAAGAACGCAGCGAAAUGCGAUAAGUAAUGUGAAUUGCAGAAUUCAGUGAAUCAUCGAAUCUUUGAACGCACAUUGCGCCCGCCAGCAUUCUGGCGGGCAUGCCUGUUCGAGCGUCAUUUCAACCCUCAAGCUCUGCUUGGUGUUGGGGCCCUACAGCUGAUGUAGGCCCUCAAAGGUAGUGGCGGACCCUCCCGGAGCCUCCUUUGCGUAGUAACUUUACGUCUCGCACUGGGAUCCGGAGGGACUCUUGCCGUAAAACCCCCCAAUUUUCCAAAGGUUGACCUCGGAUCAGGUAGGAAUACCCGCUGAACUUAAGCAUAUCA